rnacentral:misc_RNA from 1 species
GAUGAAGAACGUAGCGAAAUGGAAUAAGUAAUGCGAAUUGCAGAAUCCGUGAGUCAUCGAAUCUUUGAACGCACAUUGCGCCCUCUGGUAUUCCGGAGGGCAUGCCUGUUCGAGCGUCAUUAUCACCCCUCAAGCCCGGCUUGUUGUUGGAUGCAGCGCUUAUCCCGCUCCUCCCAAAGAUAAUGACGGCGUCUGCGACGACUCCUGUACACUGAGCUUUCGGGCACGUACACGGCUAGAAGUCCAGACCCGGUCGCCGUCCCCCCCGCGGGGACACCCAUUACCACAAGGUUGACCUCGGAUCAGGGAGGAAUACCCGCUGAACUUAAGCAUAUCAAUAAGCGGAGGA